GAUGAACGCUGGCGGCGUGCCUAAUACAUGCAAGUCGAGCGAACAGACGAGGAGCUUGCUCCUCUGACGUUAGCGGCGGACGGGUGAGUAACACGUGGAUAACCUACCUAUAAGACUGGGAUAACUUCGGGAAACCGGAGCUAAUACCGGAUAAUAUAUUGAACCGCAUGGUUCAAUAGUGAAAGACGGUUUUGCUGUCACUUAUAGAUGGAUCCGCGCCGCAUUAGCUAGUUGGUAAGGUAACGGCUUACCAAGGCGACGAUGCGUAGCCGACCUGAGAGGGUGAUCGGCCACACUGGAACUGAGACACGGUCCAGACUUCUACGGGAGGCAGCAGUAGGGAAUCUUCCGCAAUGGGCGAGAGCCUGACGGAGCAACGCCGCGUGAGUGAUGAAGGUCUUCGGAUCGUAAAACUCUGUUAUCAGGGAAGAACAAAUGUGUAAGUAACUAUGUACGUCUUGACGGUACCUAAUCAGAAAGCCACGGCUAACUACGUGCCAGCCGCCGCAGUAA
rnacentral:rRNA from 1 species